rnacentral:rRNA from 1 species
AACAUGUCUUUAAGAUUAAUAAUUUAAAGUCAAAUCUGCUCCAUGAAUAAUUUUAAAUAGCUGCAGAAUUUUAACUGUACAAAGGUAGCAUAAUCAAUAGUUUAUUAAUUGUAAGCUGGAAUGAAGGAUUUGAUAAGAAAAGUAUUGUCUCAAUAUUAAUAAAGUUAAAAAUUUUUUUUUAGUAAAAAUACUAAAAUGAUUUUAAAAGACGAGAAGACCCUAUAGAUUUUAAUAUUUAAGUUUAAAUAAAUUUAAAUAAAUUGAAAAUAUUUAAAUAUAAAAUAUUUGAUUGGGGUAAUUAAUAAAUUUAUUUAAUUUUAAUUAUUUUUAAACAUUAAUUAAUGAAUUUCUGAUUUUAAUUAAAAAUUAAAAGAAUAAAAUACCUUAGGGAUAACAGCGUAAUUUUUUUGGAGAGAUCUUAUUGAUAAAAAAGUUUGCGACCUCGAUGUUGAAUUAAGAUUAAAUUUUAAUGUAGAAGUUAAAAAAUUUUGGUCUGUUCGACCAUUAAAAUCUUACGUGAUCUGAGUUC